rnacentral:misc_RNA from 1 species
GCCUGUUCGAGCGUCAUUUCAACCCUCAAGCUUGGCUUGGUAUUGGGUGUCACCUAGUUAGGUGCAUCUUAAAAUCAGUGGCGGGUGCAUCUGGCCUCAAGUGUAGUAAAUUUCUUGCUUUGGAGGUUUAGAUGUGUGUUUGCUAUCUCUAUUUUUCAAUGGUUGACCUCGGAUCAGGUAGGGAUACCCGCUGAACUUAA